CUGAUAUCGCUAUAGUCUAUGGAGAUUGAAGCUCGACCUCGAUGGGCUCGAUGGUCGCUAGGCUUGACUCAUUCGGCCAUUUUUAUCGUGUUCGUCUCGACGAGAGGUUGAUAUUCUUCUCGCGGCAAGAGGUAACGGUAUUCUAAUAUGGUUAACGGAAGAAUUCCGUCGGUCUUCUCCAAGACCUAUGUUACUCCCAGAAGACCAUACGAGAAAGCUCGCCUUGACCAAGAGUUACGCAUCAUCGGAGAAUACGGUCUUCGUAACAAACGCGAAGUAUGGAGGGUUAAGUACACCUUGGCUAAGAUUCGGAAAGCUGCUCGUGAGUUGCUUACAUUAGAGGAGAAAGAUCCGAAACGUCUCUUCGAAGGAAAUGCUUUACUUCGUCGUUUGGUAAGAAUUGGUGUAUUGAAUGAAGCUCAUAUGAAACUCGAUUAUGUGUUGGGCUUGAAGAUUGAAGAUUUUCUGGAGCGACGUCUGCAAACUCAAGUAUUUAAGCUAGGUCUGGCCAAAUCCAUUCAUCAUGCUCGCGUGCUUAUUCGCCAACGACAUAUUCGGUUCCACAUUCGGCAUAUAUGUCGCGAGGCAAGAUGGCGAACGAAUUCUGCUGCUUAAAUAUUGGAUUAUCGAUGGCAUCUGGUCAACUGGUUGUAGUUGAUUACAUAUGGGUCCAGAAUUCACAAAUUAUUAAUAUAACAAAAUUUGAUUCACGCAGGCCACUUAAGUGUCAUUUUUCGGCACUUAACGUCUGUUCGAUCCUAUCGAGAUCCUUCUUCAUCCUUGUCAUGAGAAACAGAGAGGGGAAGUUUCGAGUACGUAAACAGGUGGUGAAUAUCCCGUCGUUUAUCGUGCGAUUGGAUUCGCAGAAGCACAUUGAUUUCUCGCUCAAAUCGCCAUUCGGCGGUGGCAGACCUGGCCGCGUCAAGAGGAAGAAUCUGAGGAAGGGAAGCGGUGGCGCCGCACCUGAAGAAGAGGAGGAUUAAACUGAUUAUUGUCGCGGUUUAUUAUCCUAAUAAAUGCGCAUCCUGUAAUAA